rnacentral:lncRNA from 1 species
GUCAGGUUUGCUAAAACAACGGCUCGACACUUAGGUCACCAGUCAUCGUCAGGCAAAUCCGAGCGGUGACUCCUGACAAAACUUUUCUCGAUAGUGAAGGUUGGGGGGUUACUAAAAUAUAUUGUCUCUAGGCGCGAUCGAUCUGGGGGCUUUUCAUCAUACUUUCCUUUUGCUUUGUUGUUGUUUCAGAUUGCAGAAUGGGGAGUAAUCUUAGUCUUGAUUCUUUUCAAGUAACUGCAUUAAUUGCUUCCAUUCUUGCCGUGAUUCCGCAGCUCCCUGCAGAUGCACAGGCUCUUAUUCCGGUCGCCGUAAUGGAAUUCGCUGUUUCAGUGAAUCCAAUCGCACGGCUAAUCUCAAUAGCUGAUUUAUUAUUAAGGUAUGUCCCCUGGAACACGCUAUGGGAAUACGUGCAAAACAUAUUUUCUCGGACCGAGGACCGCAUAUCAGCUUAUUCACAUCUACUCAGCAGGGCGGUCGAAGGACCCGGAGGCAACUCCCGAUGAUCGUUAGGAAGUUCCUUGACGUGACAUGCCCGCCAUGCAGGUGUUCUGUGAUCUGAACGAUAUUUAACUUUUCUACCCGAAUAUCAUCAUAGUUUUAGAUUUCUGUGCUUACUUUUACAAUUAUUUCGAUGUAUAAAAAUUAAAAAUAAAAUAAUGCGAUUUUGAUUUGAUUCAAUUUGUCUUGUGUUCAAAAGAUUGGCAUCGCUUCUUGGGUUACCGUUCACCUUUCUCCGACGAUAUCAAAAUUUAGACCGCGUUUAACAGAAAAGAACCGAGCCAUAUGAGUCAUUGCCAAAUUCAUUUGGACAAUUUAAUUUUUUACGGGAGAACAUUUGUGCGGAUUCCUUCGACAAUUUUUGAGGAAUUCGGAGAAAAUUCACUGAAAUUUGCACGAAAAUCCACACAACCGUUUUCAUGUAAAAAGUGAAAUUGGGCAAUUAAUGGCAAUAGCUGAUGUGGCAUGGUUCCUUUCUGUUCAACGCAGUCCAGUUUAAAUCAAUACUGACGAAAGGAAAGAGGUAGGAAAAAUUAUCUUGUACACCCAUUUCAGUUGGGCUUGUAUUUGGACCGCGUUAAGCAGAAAGAAACGGAGCCACGUUAGCUAUUGCCACAUUUAUUUGGGCAAUAUAAAAUUUUACAUGAAAACUUUUGUGCGGAUUUUUGCGCAAAUUUCAGUGAAUUUUUCGCAUAGGACGAGGCAAAUGCCAUACAAUUUCCAAAGAACCCGCACACACGCACCCUCGUAAAGAAUUACAUUGCCCAGUUGAAUUUGGCAAUAGCUGAUGUGACUUGGUUCCUUUUUGCUAUGAUCACAAACUCGCAAAAAUCUCUCCUGAAACAUCACCUGAGAAUUUCCGUCAUUUUGUUUUUUUCGCUUAUAGAAAUGUCAUGAAGUUACAAAUACUACUUGCGAACGACAAGACGAGAGAUUGUUGUCGUUUGCACGUAUUUGUAACUUUAUGGCAUUUCUAUGGUUAGUUUUUACAAUAAGGUUUCCAUGUGGUAUAAUAAUUUUAAACAUAAAUGACAUAUUUUGUAUUUAUUGAAUUAUUCGCUACUAUAAUUUUUGAAUACUCAAUUUAAUUUUAAGUAACGGCUCGACUCCGACGGAAAAAAUAAGAAUACAUUAAAGGAGGUGUUGCGAUUUGGGUCGAAAUCGGCCCCUCCACGGAAUUGAAUACUUUUUGGAUAUUUGGCAGUUGACGGUGCAUAUAUGAUGGAAAUAAUCGAGUUUUGCCGAUACCCACGUUUUUUGGCUGCGAAACAGGGGCCUAAACAUGUCUCCGUGGCCGAAAAUAGCUGAACAUCCAUGUUUUCCGCGGUUCUACCUCAAAUUUCGACCUGGGCCCAAAGGCGACGGGUGAUGAGCUUCGAAUGUGGUGUCUGGGACACCUAGACUCGUAACAUACUUGAAUAUGAUCAACCGUCGCCUUUGGGCCCAACUUCAAAAUCAAACUUUUCCGACUUUUUAGCCCGAAAUAGCUUGAUGAACUUGUAGCGUCUAUAGAGACAAUACAUAUUAGAGACUCCGCACUCCCGAACUGCGCGAUACAGUCAUUAGUGCGGCAUAAAAUAAAUUCGAUGAUCAACGCUAUUUUUUGCGUGAUGACAGUCGAUUGAACGUAUAAUUUUCCUAGUGAUGACUCACAAUUGGACGUAUUUAUGCUAAAAGGAACUAUAAGCAAGUGGAAAAACGGGGUGUGCUCGUGCAAGCUGGAUAAGAAACAAUGUAAAAGUAGAUAUAGUUCCUUUUGAGGCAAUAGAAAAGCGGGAUUUUCAAGUAAAUGAAAAGGAUUUGCGCGCCAACUCGUGAGCCGUGGACAUUUGAUAAGAGCAUUGUGGAUAGGGCUCAUGAGUUAAAGACCGCCUUUCCGAACGUCGUUUCUCUCGUCGUCUCAGGUGACGUCUCCGGCGCUCUAUAUUUCCCAUUCAUGCUUAUGGCCCUCAACUAACGAGCACACCCCAUCCGUCCACUUGCACAUAGUUCCAUUUGGCAUACUAUGUGCAAGUGAAAAGAUGGGGUGUGCUCGUUACUUGAGGGCCAUAAGGACGAAGGGGAAUUUUGAAGCGCCAGUGACGUCAGCGGCGACGACCGAACCCGACGACGACGACCUCGUCAUUGGGGCGCUUUAACUCAUGAGCCCUGUCCACAAAGCUCUUGUCACAUGUCCACGGCUCACGAGUUAGCACUCAGUUCCUUUUGAUUCAAUGUUAAAUCCCGCUUUUCCAUUUUCUCCAAAGAAACUAUAUCCACUUUUACAUUGUUUCUCAUCCAGCUCACCACGAGCAGACCCCAUCUUUUCAUUUGUAUAGUUCCUUUUAGCAUAAAUACGUCCAAUUGUCGAGGCUACUUUUUACAAAUUAUGUCAGGUUUGCUAAAACAACGGCUCGACACUUAGGUCACCAGUCAUCGUCAGGCAAAUCUGAGCGGUGACUCCUACCAAACUUUUCUCGAUAGUGAAGGUUGGGGGGUUACUAAAUAUAUAUUGUCUCUAGGCGCGAUCGAUCUGGGGCUUUUCAUCAUACUUUCCUUUUGCUUUG